rnacentral:rRNA from 1 species
AGUGAACGCUGGCGGUAGGCCUAACACAUGCAAGUCGAACGGCAGCACAGAGGAGCUUGCUCCUUGGGUGGCGAGUGGCGGACGGGUGAGGAAUACAUCGGAAUCUACUCUGUCGUGGGGGAUAACGUAGGGAAACUUACGCUAAUACCCCAUACGACCUACGGGUGAAAGCAGGGGAUCUUCGGACCUUGCGCGAUUGAAUGAGCCGAUUUCGGAUUAGCUAGUUGGCGGGGUAAAGGCCCACCCAGGCGACGAGCCGUAGCUGGUCUGAGAGGAUGAUCAGCCCCACUGGAACUGAGACACGGUCCAGACUCCUACGGGAGGCAGCAGUGGGGAAUAUUGGACAAUGGGCGCAAGCCUGAUCCAGCCAUACCGCGUGGGUGAAGAAGGCCUUCGGGUUGUAAAGCCCUUUUGUUGGGAAAGAAAUCCAGCUGGUUAAUACCCGGUUGGGAUGACGGUACCCAAAGAAUAAGCACCGGCUAACUUCGUGCCAGCCGCCGCCGUAACAC